rnacentral:rRNA from 1 species
UACGGGGGGGGCAAGCGUUGUUCGGAAUUACUGGGCGUAAAGGGCUCGUAGGUGGCCAACUAAGUCAGACGUGAAAUCCCUCAGCUUAACUGGGGAACUGCGUCCGAUACUGGAUGGCUUGGAUUUGGGAGAGGGAUGCGGAAUUCCAGGUGUAGCGGUGAAAUGCGCAGAUAUCAGGAGGAACACCGGUGGCGAAGGCGGAUCUCUGGGCCGAUACUGACGCUGAGGAGCGAAAGCGUGGGGAGCGAACAGG